AGUGGCGGACGGGUGAGUAACGCGUGAGAAUCUGCCUUGGGGUCGGGGACAACCACUGGAAACGGUGGCUAAUACCGGAUAAGCCGAUUGGUGAAAGAUUUAUUGCCCGAAGAGGAGCUCGCGUCUGAUUAGCUAGUUGGUGAGGUAAGAGCUCACCAAGGCAGCGAUCAGUAGCUGGUCUGAGAGGACGAUCAGCCACACUGGGACUGAGACACGGCCCAGACUCCUACGGGAGGCAGCAGUGGGGAAUUUUCCGCAAUGGGCGAAAGCCUGACGGAGCAAGACCGCGUGAGGGAGGAAGGCUCUUGGGUUGUAAACCUCUUUUCUCAGGGAAGAAGCUCUGACGGUACCUGAGGAAUCAGCCUCGGCUAACUCCGUGCCAGCAGCGGUAAUACGGAGGAGGCAAGCGUUAUCCGGAAUUAUUGGGCGUAAAGCGUCCGCAGGUGGCGAUUCAAGUCUGCUGUCAAAGCACGGGGCUUAACUCCGUAAAGGCAGUGGAAACUGAAUAGCUAGAGUGCCGUAGGGGUAGAGGGAAUUCCCGGUGUAGCGGUGAAAUGCGUAGAGAUCGGGAAGAACAUCGGUGGCGAAAGCGCUCUACUGGACGGCAACUGACACUCAGGGACGAAAGCUAGGGGAGCGAAUGGGAUUAGAUACCCC
rnacentral:rRNA from 1 species